rnacentral:rRNA from 1 species
CAGCCGUAAACAAUGUGCGUUAGGUGUGUCGGUAACCACGUGUUACUGAUGCGCCGAAGAGAAAUCGUGAAACGCACCACCUGGGAAGUACGGUCGCAAGGCUGAAACUUAAGGGAAUUGGCGGGGGAGCACCACAACAGGUGGAGCCUGCGGUUUAAUUGGAUUCAACGCCGGACAUCUCACCGGAUAAGACAGCUGAAUGAUUGUCAAUCUGAAGGUUUUACAUGACUAGCUGAGAGGAGGUGCAUGGCGUCAGUGACU